AAGCAUCAUUGUUAUUACUGAAUUGUCAUUUUGGCGUGUUCCGAAAUGAAUGGAACCCCUCUGGCUGGAAAGAGGCUGGCUAAUGACCAAUCACGCAUUUCUGCACGAGAACUUAUGGAUAUUAUUUCUGGCAUAUGUGUGUAUUAAAGUCACAGGAAAUGUGAUCGAGUAUAUGCCCCCGCUUCCACCCCACCAGGGGUGUGGUGCAAUGAAUUUCAUUACUAUUAUCAUUCAACAUUAAGAGUGUGCAUAAUUCCGUUGUAAUGCACAAUCAGAUUUAUGAUGCAGAGUUACUUUGUAUCUCUUUCCAGACGUUGAUGGUGAGAGGAAAUGGAGCUUUCUUCAGUUUUGAUCCAGAGGAAAGAUGAAUUUUAUGUAAUAGUUCCCAAAUCUGCGACACCCCUUUUGUUUCCGAGGUGGACUCAACCAAAAUGAAUUCUAAACGAAUGUGAAGGUUUUGUGAAGAAGGCAGUGAUAAACAUCUAUUGGUUAUAAAUAGCGUGAAGUCUUCUAUAAAUCUUCUAUUGGCUAAAGGAAUUGCUCAAGUUGUAAAAAGUGAUCAAAUCUUUGAUCAAAAGUGGAUGAUAAAGGAACACCGUCAAAUGUUGAGAACGCUAUAAUACGCAGAAUGCUUCUUCCCAAAAUCUGAUGCAGAGAUGCGCUCUUAGAAGAAAUUAAAGAAAUGGAAAACAUCAUAUAGAUGGUGGAUUGUAGAAGAAAAUAAUUUAUGUAAAUAAAAUCAUUAUUUGUA